GUCGUACAGGUUUCCGUAGGUGACCUGCGGAAGGAUCAUUAAUGAAUUUAGAUUGAACCAUAGGCGAAAGCCAGUGGUUCUUCUUUCAUAUCCAUAACACCUGUGCACUGUUGGAUGCUUGCAUCCACUUUUAAACUAAACAUUAUUGUAACAAAUGUAGUCUUAUUAUAACAUAAUAAAACUUUCAACAACGGAUCUCUUGGCUCUCGCAUCGAUGAAGAACGCAGCGAAAUGCGAUAAGUAAUGUGAAUUGCAGAAUUCAGUGAAUCAUCGAAUCUUUGAACGCACCUUGCGCUCCUUGGUAUUCCGAGGAGCAUGCCUGUUUGAGUGUCAUGAAACCCUCAAACCCAAGUUUUGGAUUUCGAUCCAUGCUUGAGUUUGGAUUUGGAUGUUUGCCGGUGAUGAACCGACUCAUCUUAAAAGUAUUAGCUUGGAUCUGUCUAUAUGACUGGUUUGACUUGGCAUAAUAAGUAUUUUGCUGAGGACAUCUUCGGAUGGCCAGGACCUAGACUACUGUCUGCUAACUAAACCAUCACUUUAAGUGCAUCUUUGGAUGUUACUCAUUGUGUAACUUUGACAUCUGGCCUCAAAUCAAGUAGGACUACCCGCUGAACUUAAGCAUAUCA
rnacentral:rRNA from 1 species